rnacentral:lncRNA from 1 species
AGUACACCUGCAGGACCUCAUUAGCACUGAUUUUGGCUCCUAACACUAACAAAUGAGCUGCUGUAGUAACAUUACCUUUUUAAAAGAAGUAAAAUCAAGCUUCCAUCAACUGAUACUUGGGAGAUCAGAUGCCUGCAUCCCUGUCUCACCAGCAAGCCCCCUCCAUCUCUUCCUUCCCCCAGCCCAGUCUGCUGCUCCAGUACAGGCAGCUGAUUGGCUGCCUGCAAGAAGUAGAGACCUGGGCCAUUCUCCAGGCUUCCUGAAGGAGGAAAUCAAGGGAACACAAAACUUCGGAGGGCCCCACCUGACAUGGCAGUGGCAUGUCCCAGAGCAGACAGUGUUGAGGAUGCUGGCCCACAGCCCUGUGACACAGAUGUGGUCCUCGGUCCUUCCCAGCCAUGACAACUUGAGCAUGGCUGGAUAAGGUGCUUCAAAGGAAGUAAAUGGCUGAAUAACUUCAGCAGUGCCUGAGCAGAGCAAUGGUGCAGUCCAGAAAUCAGCCCAGCAAUCAGAAACUGUUGUAACCGCCUGUGGUAACCUCUGCUGAGCCCUUCUUUAAAUCACAAAUGCACUGCAGGGAGGUGGAAAAACAUUUAUCUUCAUAAUUGUCUUCCACUCGUCUGUCCAGCAGUGCAAACAGAAGAGCAGGAGGACCAAAUUAUUGCUUUCAGAUGAGAAAUGCAGCUGGAGAAAUCUCUCUCCUGUUCUGCUUGGACUGAGCAGAGCGCUGCCCUGGGCUUUGAGGGACACCAGGCCAUCCUCCAUGCAUCACCUCCUGAUCCUCAGGAGGAACAAUUCCUUCCCACCAGCUGCUACAGCCCUCCGGUGACAAACCCCUCACACAGCACUGUGUCUGUUCCCACCCCCAUCCCUCACAGCCGUCCCCAGAGGCCGCCUGAUCCCGGCCUCCUUCCCAGCCUGAGGGCCCUCGCAGGAACAGCAGGGGAUAUUUUUAGCCUGUUUACAGAGAGCAGCACAUUUGGGUCCAGCCAUCCGGGCAGUGACAUGGCAGCUGGGUGCUGGGAAAGGAGAGGGAAUUAGAAAGAGCACCAGAGCUGGCAGAGGCCACCAGGUGGGUGCUGGAUUACUGUGAACACACCACAGCUGAUGCCGGAAUGCCGGUGAAUGCCAUUUACUGUUCCCUCAACUCUGGGAUUUUCUGUUCCAGCCAGGAUGUUCUGGUGUGGACGAUGCUGUAGCCCUUCCCCAAAUAUUCGACAGGCAAACACCCUAUGCACCACGCCAGCACAACUCACAAAGCAGCAGCAUUCACAAGGAGCGUGUUUCCCAUAAGCAGCCCAUGUUAAUUCCUUAGUUGAAACCACAGGCCAGGGGCCUCAUUCCCAUCAGCACAGGAUUGCAGCCCCUCAGACCAACCUGAAGGUACCUUUCCCUCACACUCCUCCAGCAGACAUCCCAUGCCUUGCUGCCUGGGGGUUUGGCAU